GAGUUCUCCCUGAGACUUUAAGUCUCCUGAAGGAACGUUAAAGACGAUGACGUUGAUAGGCCGGGUGUGUAAGCGCAGCGAUGCGUUGAGCUAACCGGUACUAAUGAACCGUGAGGCUUAACCUUACAACGCCGAAG
rnacentral:rRNA from 1 species